GAGUGAGUGGCGAACUGGUGAGUAACACGUGGGAAACCUGCCCAGAAGCGGGGGAUAACACCUGGAAACAGAUGCUAAUACCGCAUAACAACUUGGACCGCAUGGUCCGAGUUUGAAAGAUGGCUUCGGCUAUCACUUUUGGAUGGUCCCGCGGCGUAUUAGCUAGAUGGUGGGGUAACGGCUCACCAUGGCAAUGAUACGUAGCCGACCUGAGAGGGUAAUCGGCCACAUUGGGACUGAGACACGGCCCAAACUCCUACGGGAGGCAGCAGUAGGGAAUCUUCCACAAUGGACGAAAGUCUGAUGGAGCAACGCCGCGUGAGUGAAGAAGGGUUUCGGCUCGUAAAACUCUGUUGUUAAAGAAGAACAUAUCUGAGAGUAACUGUUCAGGUAUUGACGGUAUUUAACCAGAAAGCCACGGCUAACUACGUGCCAGCAGCCGCGGUAAUACGUAGGUGGCAAGCGUUGUCCGGAUUUAUUGGGCGUAAAGCGAGCGCAGGCGGUUUUUUAAGUCUGAUGUGAAAGCCUUCGGCUCAACCGAAGAAGUGCAUCGGAAACUGGGAAACUUGAGUGCAGAAGAGGACAGUGGAACUCCAUGUGUAGCGGUGAAAUGCGUAGAUAUAUGGAAGAACACCAGUGGCGAAGGCGGCUGUCUGGUCUGUAACUGACGCUGAGGCUCGAAAGUAUGGGUAGCAAACAGGAUUAGAUACCCUGGUAGUCCAUACCGUAAACGAUGAAUGCUAAGUGUUGGAGGGUUUCCGCCCUUCAGUGCUGCAGCUAACGCAUUAAGCAUUCCGCCUGGGGAGUACGGCCGCAAGGCUGAAACUCAAAGGAAUUGACGGGGGCCCGCACAAGCGGUGGAGCAUGUGGUUUAAUUCGAAGCUACGCGAAGAACCUUACCAGGUCUUGACAUACUAUGCAAAUCUAAGAGAUUAGACGUUCCCUUCGGGGACAUGGAUACAGGUGGUGCAUGGUUGUCGUCAGCUCGUGUCGUGAGAUGUUGGGUUAAGUCCCGCAACGAGCGCAACCCUUAUUAUCAGUUGCCAGCAUUAAGUUGGGCACUCUGGUGAGACUGCCGGUGACAAACCGGAGGAAGGUGGGGAUGACGUCAAAUCAUCAUGCCCCUUAUGACCUGGGCUACACACGUGCUACAAUGGAUGGUACAACGAGUUGCGAACUCGCGAGAGUAAGCUAAUCUCUUAAAGCCAUUCUCAGUUCGGAUUGUAGGCUGCAACUCGCCUACAUGAAGUCGGAA
rnacentral:rRNA from 2 species